AGUGAACGCUGGCGGCGUGCUUAACACAUGCAAGUCGAACGGAUAAAAUAAGCUUGCUUAUUUUGUUAGUGGCGCACGGGUGAGUAAUAUAUAGCUAACCUGCCCUUUAGUGGGGGACAACAGUUGGAAACGACUGCUAAUACCCCAUACUCCUUCUUGUCUUAAGAUAAGUUGGGAAAGAUUUAUCGCUAAAGGAUGGGGCUUUAUUGUAUCAGCUAGUUGGUGGGGUAAUGGCCUACCAAGGCAAUGACGCAUACCUGGUCUGAGAGGAUGAUCAGGCACACUGGAACUGAGACACGGUCCAGACUCCUACGGGAGGCUG
rnacentral:rRNA from 1 species